AUUGAACGCUGGCGGCAGGCCUAACACAUGCAAGUCGAACGAGUGGCGGACGGGUGAGUAAUGUCUGGGAAACUGCCUGAUGGAGGGGGAUAACUACUGGAAACGGUAGCUAAUACCGCAUACCAUCGGAUGUGCCCAGAUGGGAUUAGCUAGUAGGUGGGGUAAAGGCUCACCUAGGAGACGAUCCCUAGCUGGUCUGAGAGGAUGACGUGCCACACGGGAACUGAGACACGGUCCAGACUCCGACGGGAGGCAGCAGGGGGGAAUAUUGCAGAAUGGGCGAAAGCCUGAUGCAGCCAUGCCGCGUGUAUGAAGAAGGCCUUCGGGUGGUAAAGUACUUUGGGCGGGGAGGCGUUACCUGCAGAAGAAGGACCGGCUAACUCCGUGCCAGCAGCCGCGGUAAUAC
rnacentral:rRNA from 1 species